rnacentral:rRNA from 1 species
GUGGGGAAUUUUGCGCAAUGGGGGAAACCCUGACGCAGCAACGCCGCGUGCGGGACGAAGGCCUUCGGGUUGUAAACCGCUUUCAGCAGGGAAGACCAUGACGGUACCUGCAGAAGAAGCCCCGGCUAACUACGUGCCAGCAGCCGCGGUAAUACGUAGGGGGCGAGCGUUAUCCGGAUUCAUUGGGCGUAAAGCGCGCGCAGGCGGCCGAUCAAGCGGAACCUCUAAUCCCGGGGCUCAACCCCGCGGCCGGGUUCCGAACUGGUCGGCUCGAGUUCGGUAGAGGAGGGUGGAAUUCCCGGUGUAGCGGUGGAAUGCGCAGAUAUCGGGAAGAACACCGAUGGCGAAGGCAGCCCUCUGGGCCGACACUGACGCUGAGGCGCGAAAGCUGGGGGAGCGAACAGGAUUAGAUACCCCAGUAGUCC